rnacentral:rRNA from 1 species
GAUAAACGCUGGCGGCGUGCAUGAGACAUGCAAGUCGAACGGACUUCUCGGGCUUGCUCGAGAAGUUAGUGGCGGACGGCUGAGUAACGCGUAGGUGACCUGCCCCGAAGUGGGGAAUAA